rnacentral:rRNA from 1 species
ACCUACGGGGGGCAGCAGUGGGGAAUAUUCCACAAUGGGCGAAAGCCCGAUGGAGCAACGCCGCGUGGGUGAAGAAGGUCUUCGGAUCGUAAAACCCUGUUGUUAGAGAAGAAAGUGCGUGAGAGUAACUGUUCACGUUUCGACGGUAUCUAACCAGAAAGCCACGGCUAACUACGUGCCAGCAGCCGCGGUAAUACGUAGGUGGCAAGCGUUAUCCGGAUUUAUUGGGCGUAAAGGGAACGCAGGCGGUCUUUUAAGUCUGAUGUGAAAGCCUUCGGCUUAACCGGAGUAGUGCAUUGGAAACU